rnacentral:rRNA from 1 species
UAUCUGGUUGAUUCUGCCAGUAGUCAUAUGCUUGUCUCAAAGAUUAAGCCAUGCAUGUCUAAGUAUAAGCAAUCUAUACUGUGAAACUGCGAAUGGCUCAUUAAAUCAGUUAUCGUUUAUUUGAUAGUACCUUACUACAUGGAUACCUGUGGUAAUUCUAGA